GAGCUGUUGACUUAGUUCAUGAUUUCGGUGUGGUGUGGAGAGAAGUCACAAAGAAAGUUACAGCCUUGCAAAUUCUAAGUCAGAACCCAGAGAAGAGCCUAAAGACGUGGAACCAAUCCAAUAUGAUGAAGUCAAUAUCUGACUGUAGAAGGAACUCAUUUCCUGAUACUGUGGUGAUCUGAAAAAAAAAAUCGACAGAAUUGUGAGAGAAGAAUGUGACCCUCUAGAAACAGAGCAAUGCUCUUGAUUUCACAUGUAAAAGCCUACUUAGAGACGAAUUUGAUUAGAGUGGGUGUGGACACGCUUUUUGUAUUAGGCCAUCAAUCUGAACUGCGAAGAUUUUCCCUUUGUAUUGACUUUUUGUUUCAACGGCAAGAUGAACACUUCCUGACUACUGUCACACAUCAAGCAAGGCUACGGAGGUUUAGAGGACUGACAUUUCAAAAUACUCAAUCAGGAGCUAGUCACCUCUUCGCAGCCUGACUUGCUCUGAAUGGGAGGUGAACACUGAAAUGUGGCACAGGUUCAGAAAAUCGCAAAUCAUGCUUCAGGAUGUCUCUAUAAUUCUA